ACACGACCCACUUGAAAUGAUCUGACACAAUGACAACAAAACCACCAAAAAAAGCUUCACAGAGAUCCAAGUAAAAUGUGAUUAAAGCUGUGAGGGUUCAACAGGGGACUACAGUACGUCUGACAAUGAGCAGCAGUUUAAUGGCUUUACCAACAGCAACCUGGGGAAAAGAUGCAAUAAAAGGCUAAAACCGCAGUCAGGACGGAUGGUCCGCCAUGCUAGAGAGAGCGGAAUAAAAUUAGUUUAGACCAUCCUGCCACUGCUUCUACGAUCUCCAUGAGUUCUUGUUCCCUGUUAAAAGAAGUAAAACUAAAGCCAACUAAGCGCACCUCUCUACAUUGGUUUGGAAAAUUAAGCCGUAGAGGCAAUCAAACUCUAAAUGGCUGCAAUCAAUCAGGCAAUAAGACAAAAAGCACCUUCAAUCCAAGCAUUAUUGGUAACCCGGCGGAAGAAAAGAAAACAGUGCUUCAUCGGUUAAUAAACGAGCCGCACGGGAAAAGCUGGCAAUCAGAAGGCGUACGAAGUGACUCAACAGCUGGGAUCGAGAAAUAUACGAGCAUCACAGCAGACGGAACGAGUCCGAGCCACGCGGCGAUCACGUGACGGCCACGCGGCGAUCACGUGACGGCCACGUGUGCGGCCACAGCUCCUCUCCUGCAUUUAGCCUCCAGACGGAUAAACAGGUUCUACCGUGGCUCUUAAUCGGUUUUGUAGCGUGAUGAGAGCAAAGACUAAAGCUACACAUAAUUGGGACAGUAAUGUCACCAGAUCAUGCAGAUCACUUGUAUGAGCACAUCAUGCCUGAGCUGAAAAGAAUCCAGACUUGGUGCAUUGGAGGCCUUAGCGGGGGAUGAAAUCAGACCACAGACUCUGAAAGCUGCCAAAAUGUAGACAUUCACUAAAAUGCUACAGGCCCAAAUGAAACCUUCCGUAUUGAAGCACAAGCGGCUCAAUGACUUCUUGGCACCAAACAACUCUUUUAAUGUCCUCCAGUCAGGGGGAUCUGCAGCGACGUGCACUUAAACAGUGGAAAGAUGUUUGUCUACCGGACCUCAGCGCUCCAUUGGACACGUCAGAGCACGACGUGUGCGCUAAACUGGUGUGAACCAUCGAGGCCGGGGACUACUUUGUGUGUAUAGAUUGCUACACACCUGACUGCACAUUACACGACCAUAUCGCCGGGGCAACGUGGUCCGAUACGAGGGAAGAGUGAAGCGCAUUGAACAGCUCAACCAUUGGCAUUAAACAAACACAAAACGUGUGCAGCAAACGGAGGCGUGAAAGUCAGCACAUAUCCAGUAGAAGUAAAUACAUUUAUGAUCUUCUGCAUCUACAAAUUAGACCCCUUUGUGGGAAGAAUUUGUCAUGUCUUGAUGCCUUUGAUGUUUUAUGAGAAGCGCUUUGAAUUACUCAAAUGUGUUUUAUGCAUAAACCUUCCUUGGAGUACCAUUUCCUUUUGUUUUUUUAAAUGGAUCACAACCUAAGUGCAGUGCAGCAGCUCUUUUUCAAGCCCCUCAAAUGUGCACAUUUGCUUUUUAUCAUCAUCACGGGAGUAUCUUCGAGUUUUAAACUGUUGGUCGGAGAAUUCAAAAAUAACAAAAGCUACCCGCGUGCGAUGGAAUGAAUGGCGGAUUAAUCUAUCAUGACCAUAAUCAUUAGCUGCAGCCCGCGAGGGGUCACGAGUCAUUGCACAGAUCUGCUGGAAAUGAUGCAAACCCCAUCGCCCAGAAUGAGGAGAAAAAUCAAGGUGAAAGAAGAGGGGUGUUAAGUAUGGAGGCCUUGUUGUAGAUUCCCUUUGUGUUGUCCCAGUGUUAACGUACCAGCAGCAGGGAGCUGAAUAACAUCACAGUCUAUCAGCGUACACACAGCAGCCCCCGUCACAAAGGUCGGCUCCAUGCGUCCCGUACGCCUCCUCCCUCGCUCGCUCCCUUCAACACCAUGCGUCUCUUCCUCCCUCUCUCCACCCCGGCAGCCCCCCCGGGCGUCCUCGCCUCCACCGCCGCGCUCGGACACCUCGGCCGCCGUGUGCCAUUAGGGGAGCGCCCACAGCGGCUCAUAAAUAUUGACUUGUUUCAGCGUGUCCCUCGGGGGAAGUGCUGCGAGCAGCAGGCCGGUGCAUUAGCACGCCAACAGCCAAACGCGGCCCGACGGUCAAUACCGACUGGUGGCCGCGGCUGAGCGAAGCCUCCGUCCGCCCGCUGAGCGCGAAGGCGGAGGUGAAGGAGGUGCUGCAGCGGCCCGCCGGACGAGAGCUGCCAGAGCGGCAUUUAUCGAACUGGCUCGUCGCGCACGGCUGGUGGGUUUUGUUGUUUAAUGUUUAACUGCGCAAUGAGCACGGCUAUCACAUGAAAACAGGUUGACCUGAUGGCGAGCUCCUCUGCCGAUAGGUGUGCAUAAUUAAAAGGAUUAUCCCACCCAAGAGCAGGUAAGGAUUAUAUGUGGCCCUCGUUUAAUCUUCCAGGGCCGUCUCUUGAUUCAGACGUGUUAAUCAAUCUUCUUUGGUGUUAACUAAUUACAUUCUCUGCUUCUAGAGGAUCAGAAACGGUGAAUUAUUCGAGGGGAAGGCGCACUUCCUGAGGGCUGGGAUUCAGGCGGAAGAAUUAAGUCAUUUACUAAUGAGAGAAAACUUAAUUUGUUUCUUCUAGCCCGGUUCAUGAGCUCCCGCUGAGCCGUGGUGGAGGAGUUGAUACCUGCAUCGCGGGAAUACAGGACGGGGGGGGGGGGGCGCGCUCACCUCUGAGUCGGAAACUCCUGCAGUUAAACCAGACUCCCGGAGUGGCCUCGUUUGAUGCUUUAUAAACCAAUUAUUCCUUCCCUCUGAACUGAACCUGGUUGCCUUUUAUAUGUGGGGAGGAUGUCUCGUUUUACUCGUAAAGGCCACACACUUCCCCUACAUGGUCUCAUUGAAACACAUUUAUAUAUCACUCAUUUGUUUUCAGAAUAUGAAACGGUCUUUGAGCAUCUAUCCGGGUGAACACACACGAGACUGCUCAGCGGCAGGCGUCGAACCAAUUAGUGACAUCACAAUGACUACGUGCACUUUAUACACGCAGUCUGUGGGCAACAGUACAGGUGGGGGGAGAGGAAGCAGUGCUCACUGCGUGUGAGGGGAAAAAGGAAUGACGUAAAUACAUAAAACAAGAAAACAUCUUAAGGCCAGUUGGUGUGUGGAUCCAGAUUUUGACGAGUUAAUUAAGUCCUUCCCGUUAAACAUUGAGCCAAUUAAAACGUUGUGGGCUUUUUGAAAGAAAGUCCGUUAAACAUUAUGACAGCAACGCAAACAGGACUGACAGUUUAGCCAUUAGUGUUUAUUCCAUCCAGGCAACUAUGGGACCAUAAGCAGCAGGUUGGACAUUUCCUCACAUCAUUAGUCACACCCUAAUGUUCCCUUUUUUGUGUGUGCGGAUGACAGGUCACAAAUACAAUUUAAAAACUUCAUGUUGACAAGGACCGAGUCACUUGAAAGCGCCUUUACGUGGCAGGAGUCUCCUCAGCUGAAGUAAAUGUUUAAUGGGAUUUCUGAUUGUGUUGGUGAGCGUACGCUGACUCACAACGACGGGCGAGCGGCGCCACUCUGACGUAGGGACGAGUUGAAAUAACGAGAACUGUAAUUUAUCGAUUUCAUUUUUUUUUUGUUCAUUCAGGAAUCAUCACAUUUUUCCCCCUGCCGCUCAGCAACAGUGCGUGUGCGUGUUUGUUUUGCACAUUCCCUCAUUAAUAAGUGAUGCAAAUCGAUGUCGAGUGUUGCCUAUUAACACUUGCCUCCUCUCGGCAGUGAUAUUCUAAGCACACGCUGCACGGAAUGUUGAGGCCUUCAAGGAUUCGCAUUCCAUCAGCAGAAGGUAAAUAAUACAUCUUAUUGGAUUUGAGGGCCAGAGCUUCACACUUUGCAGAGGGAAAAUAAAUCAACUGAAACAUAUGUGGCGCAACAGGCCACGACGAGGACACCGAGGGAUCAAAUAAAUGCUGAAGGAAAAAGGAAAAGUACCAGUGGACUCUGGUGUCGCAUCACUAGCGGAGAUAAGCGCGCGCUCCUCUCCAGCGUAACACGUAAUGUUGUUUUCCUCCUCCUGCUCUCCUGAGCGGUUUCAGCUGAUGCAUAAUUUAAUGUGAAAAUGGUGUAUUAUUCUGUCGGCGGGGACGCACUGGAAAAACCUCAGAAAAGCCCAAUGAUGGAGUAACAUUCUGGGGCAGGCGGCUUUUUCUGUUCUUUUUUAAAAAAAGUCUGACCACAUUUAUUGAGCAAAAGUUACCCAGAGAGCCUGAGGUUUGACUGCUGGAGCGUGACUCCGUCCGUCCUCGUCCGUCCUCCUACGCCCUCGCCCGUCCUCCACUGUCCCGGGGGCCCAUCGCUUGCUCGGACCCUCUGGAGUUGCGAGUCGGAGACACAACGGUUUGUGUCUCCGACUCAAAGCGCGUCCCAGAGCGGUUGGUUUUGGAGUUUUUCAUUCCAUGACUGAUUGGAUAAUUGGGGGGACGCCAGUUUGUUUUCUUCUUUUCUCCCGGUGAAGAUCGGUUUUCUGACUAGAUUCAUUAUCAUGGGAAGCCACACGUUGGGUGUUGAUACACAACGAAAGGAAGGAAAAGACUCAAACACGGAUGUUUAAAGCCUUUUUGCGGUUUCAUUUCCUCUGACGAUGCCUUCAUGAUGCCUCGUUGGUGGCUGUGAGAUUGCAGCUGGCGCAGAAAGGUGAAGCACAUUAUUUGAAGUUAAUUAAGUGCCCACAACAUUACUUGCUCGGGGAGUCAUUUGUGUUUCUUGAAUACUGAUUUCAUUACUCAAAGCAGUAGGUUUUCUUUUACAGAGUGGCGUUUGGAAUGGAAGGCAACAUUCUUCUUUAACGAGUCGGGGUUUGCUGAAGAAAACCCAACAGAAACAAGCGGUCACGGUCAGACAAAACACUAAGGAUUCAUUUGAGAAAUCAGCUAUUUCUGACUGAAGUUUCUGAAGCGUGCGGUUAUGCACAAUUAAGCUCCGGGAAGCAGAACUCAUCUUAUUGGCUGAUUUACAUCUCAAGUCAACAGAAGUAAAGUACAAUUCAUGUUGAAAAAUAGUCGAGCUACAGCAGGGCGGAUGUUAGCUUAGCCAAGCUAACUACUUACUUAUUAGGUUAAAGUAAGUAAGUCAAAUUUCAAAGACAAUCAUCUCCACCAGUUGCAGUGCAGCUGUGUGUGUAUAUACAUACACACACCUAUAUGUAUGUAAUGCAUGAUACUUUGAGAACAGAGAGCCUGAGAAAUGGGCCUUUGAUCGACGGUAUUAUUCAGAGCCUGAUUUCUGCUUUAAAUUAAAAACACAUUAUAUAUUAUAAUUGAAAUAUGAAAGCCCUGCAGAAAUGCAUUGCUGUAGACGGACUCAAAGGCAGUGGGAGGGAGCUUCGUCUGCAUACUUUUAACACAUCUUUUGUCCAAUGACACAUUUAUGACUGCAUGAUUAUUAUUUUUUCCCCCCCCAAAGAACACGAGAAGUGACUCACAAUCCAUCGAACACGGUUCAACCUCAAUAAUCCCACUUUCCUUGCAGUCAAGCCUUGUGUCUACACAAUCUGGAGCGCCCCAGUUUGUGCAUCUGCAGACUGCACAUAAUCCCCUUUAAUUCCACGCUGCGCUCUCCGUGGAGCCGCUUGUUCUUAGAGCAGCCAGCCACGGCGCUAACGAGCCUUUCAAAAGACAUUAUGACUUAUUAUAAUUUGAGAACAUUACGGGCUAAUUUCUCCAGGGGCGAUUCCACUAGCCGGGCUCUGUGUGGGGCCCCGUUUUAUUACAUCACAUUCCCUCCACGCGCAGUGAAACCGUAUCUUUGGUCCCUGUGCUGCUGCAGCCUAUAUAUUCACACUGUGGUGGGAGGGGGGUCUGAAUCACCAGUCAUUUUUGGUCUCGAGCAUUAUUAUCAAGUACGACACUUAUAAUUAUUGCUAGGGUCGGGAAGUUUCAUUACAUGGAUUGGAAUAACUGGCUCAGUCGGACUGAAAUGAAAUUAUCCGUUUCAUGUAAACACCUUUGUCCGACUACGUGCGGUGCGACUACGAUCCGACUAACACCCCUGGAUAACUCGAUCCGGUUAAUAGUUCGACUAUUGCGGCAUGUAACGGUGAAUCAGAUGAGGAACUGGACUUUGCGCAUGCUCGCGAUCCCGACGGCGUCUUCUCUCCGUUAUCAAAUCAGCCAAUAGCGCCAUUCGCAUUCGCUGUGCUCCUAUUAACAUCAUUAACAUCAUGCACACAUAGUAGAGGGACGUAGCUUCACCUUGCUCUCUGCUCGCCAUCUUUCUCGUAAUGUUGUUGUUGUUGUUGUUGAUAGUGGUGAAGCGGUCAAGCGGAAAUGGCUGUAUCACAACUAGUUGUAAUGAAAACAGCGCCACCUAUCGUACCGGAUAUGACAUGCUUUCCGCCAAUGAUUGGAUUUAUUCACUGCCAUGUAUAUUGGGAUAAUAGCACCUCCCCCUGAAAGACAACAUAGUCCCACUAAGCAAAGACUCCAAUUAUACCAUCAUGUAAACACACUGACUGAGACACACAGUGUAUCCACAGGACAUAAAGACAUUUACACAGACUUAAAGCCUUAAUACAUCAUGAUAGCAUUAGAAGUAGGACUCAGUUUUACUGAGUGGGGCUUGAAUGCAUCAUCUUGUGAUCUGCACGAGUUGGAUAUCCUAAAUGUUUUUAACAAGAGAGCUUUCCUCCACAUAUUUUUGUUUAGUUUCAACAGCGAGUGUAAUCCUGGAUUAAUAGAUACACAGAGUUUUCUUUAGUUGUCUGGAAGGUCAUUUCGUAGAAGGCAGAGUUGGUAAACUCUGUAUGACAAAUAAACUCCAUGUUUGGAGUUGGUGGAGCUCCCCUUUAUUAAAGUAGCAAGCAGUCAGUGUGUUGAAUUCUGAACACAAGUGACAGCACACUGAGUGCAUCUCCGUUCCAGUGCCCUCCGGCAAAAACACGCAACCCGGCGCCUGGUGCCUGUAAAAGGUGCAAAGAUCUGAUUGGAGGCCCACGGUUCAUUGAUAUUUUCAUUUAGACUUCGCCUUGAGCUUUAAUUCAAGCAAUUCAAUUCCCGACUCGCUUGGAUCACGUUGUUCCCGCCGUGCUGCUUCAACUCCCAGACACAGGAAGUCUGGUCCCGUUGUGCUUAAACAGCGAUUUCUCAGAAGCACCAUUAAAGCGUGAUGAUUCGGAGACCUUCCCUUUAUUUCGCUCACACACACGCAGUGAUCACUAAUUCAAAUUGCUACGGGUUAAGAUGCAGGUGCGACUUCUUUUAACCCAAAUCCACACAGAGAAUAAGACUGAAGCAAUUCAAUGAGGAGGAGACUAUAUGGUGCGUUGCUGGAAGCCUCAGCCUGUGUCCUCCAUUAACACUCUGAAUGAGCUUUUGACACAUUUAAAUGGCACCAGUGAGUAAAAAGACAUAACACAGAUCAUAGAAACACGGCAAUAAAGCUCAGUUUAUCGAGUUAUUGUCGCCAAACCGCAUAUUCCAUGUGGUGCACGUUGGCGUUUUUAGCGCGCGCUGAAGCAAAGCCUCUCGCGGAAUUCGUUUCAAACGUCCUAUCAAGACAUUACCCAUUAUAUGAUUUAAGUUCAUCCCGUGUGGAUACGUUCUAUCGUGGUACAAAACGUGAGAAGAUGCAGAAGUGUGGGUAUGGCGUUCUGCCCUCACGGCGCCACUGCGUCCUUCUGUCACUCCAGCCAAUGUGCAUUGGAGGUGUGGAAGUGAGACAUGAAGCAACCGCCAGAGGUGAAAGGAACUAAUUCAGUGGGCAUACUUCAUCAGGCCCCCUGAUUUGAUCCACUUGGAACCGUCGGAAGGCGGUUAACGUACUCGAGGGCUUGAUUGGAGCAAUUUGCGCCACAAGUCUCGCUGCCUCCUGGAGUCCUAACGCUUCAUUGCGGCUUUGUGUGACAUCAUCAUCAUUAUUUGUGUGAAUUAAUGGUCAUAAAUGUACUUGGAAACCAAAAAAGAAAUGUUGGGAAUAGUUGCAGAACUUUAGUUUCACGACGUUAGCUGUGUAAAUACGUCUCCGGACGCCUGGUCUGCACACGUCCUCCCACUCGAGCCUUUUUGAUCAAGAAAAGAAUUUGCUCACGGGCUUCAUUUCCACAGCUCCUUAAGAUAAUAUUUGACUAUGGUAACCAGUUUGUUUGCAAUAACAGCAAUCUGUUCCAAAGCCAUCCCCACCCCCCCCUGCAGCCGAAAGCAUCAAUUUAAAUGCGACUUAUCUGGGAACUCGAUGCAGGGAACGAUGGACAAUUUUGGUCCUCAAAACGAUGGAACUUUCUUUGAACAAAUGAAACUGCAGCCUAAUGCGCGCGGCUUUGGGCUGUUGUCGGUCAGCGGGAUUCACCGCUGAAUCCUACGUGCAGCACUGGUGUCACAAUAUGCAUCCCAUAAUGCAUCAGUAUUCUUUAGACACGACGCACAGUUGAUACAAACAAAGGGAGGAUCGGCACCGUGACUGUUGGCAGUUAAGCCGGGUUUUGGGGUUUUAACACCUGUCAGUUUUUCUCUGCUGUUCUUCCUGCUACUCAAACACUACACCUCAAAUGAAAUAAUUUCCAUAUUAAUACUUCUUUCCUUUUACGAUGCCCGUGACUUCCAUUCUAACAGUGAGUCGAGGAUUAGAAUAUAAUCUCAGGCUCCUCACUUCUGUUGCUAUCAUUCCCCACUGCACGGGAAAGGGCUUUCGUUGUGUUGGUGGCGGGCCAAAUCCAUUGCGUUUCCAUUUUUCAACCCCUCUUGCUGCCCUUAUCCAAUUCAGGGCUUAUGAUUGUAAUACUAAAACAGAGCGAGUUGUCAUACCAGAAACGGCGAUGAUGAAUGCCCCGCUGCUCUGCUUGCUUGUUUGUUUUGCCGGGAGGGGGGAGGAGAAGGGGGGGGGGGGUCGGCGGAAUUGAAUUUCAUGCUUAGUUGUCGAGGUGCAUUUUUUUUGACUGCGUCUGCUCUGCUCUGCUCUUAACAGGCAGCAUUGAUUAAAUGGAAUAGUUCUGUUAUCUGGAUAAAAAGGGGAGAAACACGAGGACGAUAGUGGGCAAGAGAAAUAAUGAGUUCUUUCAUCUCGGCAGUGAGGCCGUCCGCGUCUUUCACACUUCCCAGGGAGACGUACACAGCUUAAGGAAACGUUUAAUUAGAAAAUGUCAACCGUGUGUCUGCGUGCUAUGUGCGCGGAAUAAUAACAUUUAGGAUGUGAAUGUGACAGCACAUUUUCCUCUCAUGCCGCUUUUGCCGCUCAAAGACGAGCAAUCAAUUGAUUCUGAAGAGGGAGAGAAAAUAGUUACCGCCAGCGCUCUGCAUACGUCACAAGGUGGGAUGGCGCCGUAUUUCAUAGCUUACGAGGACAUUUUCCUGACCUGAAAAUCCUUCUUUGUGUGUGUGUGUGUAAGUUUCAGAAAGUAAACAGAGCGGUCAGAAGCCUUCAGUCACAGUGACUGGCGGGAUGAUUAUUGAAGAGCGACCUGACGUUGAUCAUCGCACGCAUCUCCCAUGCAGAAGGACCCGGUGCUGCUCACCUCUACAAAACAGUGAGAUGUUUAAAAAAAACACGGGAGAGAACCUGGUGAGGCCCUCUGGCGCCCCCCCCCAAUAGAGACAUGAAGGGUUCGUUGUGCACCUGCACCGCAGUUAGAUCAUAGCCCAACGUGGCUAAUUGUGCUGACUGCUGGCAUCCAAGAUGCGUUCUCCCCUCAACAUCAAAGCUAAAUCCGGAUGCCCAAAUAAAGCCGGUAUGAAAGGAGACGUCUUUUUUUUUUUUUUAAACAACGUGAAACACUCGUGACAUGUUUGUGUUAGAAGAAAAAGGUUUUAGGACCAUUAUGAGCAGUGAAACCUGGAAGGACAUACUUUUAAUUAACUUGAGUUUUACUUCUACUACAUCUCAGAGGACAAUAUUGUACUUUUUAAAAUCAAUUUUUAAACAAUUAAGUAUUUUCACAAGUCAAGAUAGCAGUAAAUAAAGAAUUUAAAUGAGCUGCACAUGGUGCAACUUGAGGGUUAUAAAAACAAAUGAAUACAGUACGUUUCCUACUGUAUAACGAGUUAUAUAAAAUGGGUCAUUCCGCUAAAUGAGCAUUUACUUUCAUGCUAAUAUUUCUAUACUUUUACCAAAGUAGAAGAACUGAAGAACUGCACAAGAAAUGAAUGCAAAUGAUUAAUGCGUGUGGACGGAGGAGGAGGGGCAGCACAUUCAUUUACAUACAUGUAGCAAUAACAAAGAUUUAUUACGUGACAAGAAACGAUGUGUCCGACAUGCAGCUAAUAAAACGGUAAAGAAGAACGUGCUGGAGCUCGUACACACCCGCUCUCAUCACAUUGUAAAACAAGGUGAGACGUAAGCAAAUAUUUGUAAUAUAUUUAAUAUACGUUCCACUUGAUUAUUACAAUAAAAGAAUAUUAUGCUUAGAAUGUGACAUGAUGUUCAUUUUAUGCUAAUGAGAUUAUUUGUCCUGUAUAGUUUACGUGUUAAAUAGAUGUACCACUACCCUGGAGUAGAACACAGGACCCCCCCAUGGAGCGCCUCGCUUCCUGUGUGUGACCCUUCAGCGGCGUAUUUACCUUCCACGUCCACAGCAGGUAAACGCCGCUUCCUUCAUCUCCCUUGUUAAUCCUCGCUGAAACACACACGGAUCGCAAUUAAUGCGAGGCGCCGGUGAUCCCUCCGAAUCCCCUUUCAUCCACUUAGCCACGGUGGCUCCAGGACAACCGGCCCCUCUCAGAGCCACUCGUUUGUUUUGGCUUAAUCCCUCACGAGGGAAAGGCCUCCGAGGAACCUUUAGGGGAUCUUCAGAUGAAAAUAAUUUACGUUUUAACAGAUUCCAAGCGGACUUUACCAAGCCUCCAACAUGUGGGAAAAUCUCACAGCUGGAAAAUCUCUUCUUUUUGGGACCAUAACUAAAGUUCAAUGAAAUUAUCAAUACAAGGUUCAAUACAGCCAUUAAGUUAUUCCGUAAGCUAAAGAGGCCAAAGAAAGGAGCCAGUGGUUCAAACGUUGGAUUGGCUGCUUUCUUUUUUCUUCUUUUGCAGCGCAGCUAAACUACUAGUUUCUCCUCUCCCCACCUUUGGCCUCAGCUAAGAAAAGGCCACAGAAAAGCACACAGAUCCGUUUUGCGUCAAUCCUCUGAUCUUCCGAUGAACCUCAGUUUAGCGACGCAGAGCCUCUGAAGCCAAAGGACCGAGCGUCGCACAAAUCAAAGCAGGAGGGGGCACACACAGCCACACAGCCGGAGGAAGUGGUGGUCUCGAUGGGCUUCACCUGCAGAUGAGCACACAUAACCACACAGACACACCUACGCACGCGUGAUUCAUACCCCACUAACGAUUUCACACGUUGUCGUUAUGGCUUCAGCCCGCGAGCACACCAAUACAUUUUCAUACGAGGGGGAAAGGGAACGAGCACAGACAGACACACACACACACACAACCCAAACACCCCCUUCCACACAAACAAUUUCCCACUUACCCACUCGGCCUCAGACUAUUUUCUUGGCAUAAAAAGGAAAAACACACACACACCAGCAGUCCUGUUGAGGAGCUGAUAGCGAGCGCAUCACAGCCUCCAGCAGGCUGAAGACGCGUAAGUUCGGCGGAGGUUAUUGGAUUAGUCACUUUUCUCUCUGUAGUGUUGUGUUCCUUAACCUGCAGGGCGCCGUGUAGCAGGCUAGUGGACCUCAGCUCGUUGUGUGCCGAGUGUCCCCGAUUCAUCUGGAGGUCGACACACACACAGAAUCACGCGUGCUCAGGGUAGCUUCCGUUCAGAACGACAUUUUGAGGCGUUGGAAGCGGCGGCUGACUUUCACAAGGAGAUCAGUGCGCUGGCACGGGCAACCACUGGAUGUCUUCCAAGUAGAUAGCGAACCACACGUUCGUUUCAAUGGAGACGGAGGCGCUUUAAAACAUGCAUCGUUUUGUUAUAUUUAUAUAUGCCAUUGGAAAGCAAAUUAAUGCAUCCAAGAAGGCUCGUACGAUGCAGUUGCAGUUUGCAACACACAUCACAAAUAACGGACACAGACUACUCAUCUUUGUCAAAGUAAUCAGAGGAAAUAAGUUGGGGGAGCAGCAUAUGUUUUAGUUUGAGACCAAAAGCCAGAAAUCAGAGGACCAGCAGGCGGACUGAUUACAACAGAACUCUGAUACACACGACUGCAGAAAAGUUCACACCAUCCUGCAGAGACACAGAGAGACAGAGAGACACAGAGAGAGAGAGAGAGACAGAGAGAGACAGAGACAGAGACAGAGAGAGAGAGAGAGAGAGAGACGGACAGAGCUCCCAGGGCCCAAACUAAACAGCAGGUGUCAGAUGCGUCGCGUUCAGA
ensembl:lncRNA